AGCGAACGCUGGCGGCAGGCCUAACACAUGCAAGUCGAACGGAUCCUUCGGGAUUAGUGGCGGACGGGUGAGUAACACGUGGGAACGUGCCCUUUGGUUCGGAACAACUCAGGGAAACUUGAGCUAAUACCGGAUGUGCCCUUCGGGGGAAAGAUUUAUCGCCAUUGGAGCGGCCCGCGUCUGAUUAGCUAGUUGGUGAGGUAACGGCCCACCAAGGCGACGAUCAGUAGCUGGUCUGAGAGGAUGAUCAGCCACACUGGGACUGAGACACGGCCCAGACUCCUACGGGAGGCAGCAGUGGGGAAUCUUGCGCAAUGGGCGAAAGCCUGACGCAGCCAUGCCGCGUGAAUGAUGUAGGUCUUAGGAUUGUAAAAUUCUUUCAGCGGGGACGAUAAUGACGGUACCCGCAGAAGAAGCUCCGGCUAACUUCGUG
rnacentral:rRNA from 1 species